GAUCUAGAAUAAUGGUUCUUCAUCUUCCAGGCAAGUAGAUUGAAAAACUUUCAAUCUUACGUUCUUUCUUUGAGAUUGAAAUGGCUAGUUUUACUGCUGCAACAUCCAACACGUCCAGAAAGAGGGCAAGAAAAUCAACACCUUCAUGUCGAAGGAUAUGGACUCCAGAAGAGGAACUUACUCUUAUAGAUGGAUUAAAAGAAUUGUGUGUUAAUGGUUGGAGAGGACAUAAUGGAACCUUUAGACAUGGAUAUUUAAUGGAAUUGGAACACUACAUGAAUGCUUGUCAUCCUAGUUGUGGAUUGAAAUCUCUACCAUAUGUUGAUUCUAAAAUAAGAGCAUGGAAAAAGAGUUAUGCAACCAUAUCGUUGCUAAAGAGUUGAAGUGGUUUAGGAUUUCAAUAUAGUGACGGAAGUAUCUUAGUUGAUUAUCCAAAAGCUUGGGAUGACUUGAUAAAGGUUGAUCCAAAUGCCAAGUCAAUGAACUU